rnacentral:rRNA from 1 species
UACAGAGGGUGCGAGCGUUGUUCGGAAUUAUUGGGCGUAAAGGGUGCGUAGGCGGUCGGGUAAGUCUGAUGUGAAAUCUCACAGCUUAACUGUGAAACUGCAUUGGAUACUAUCCGGCUCGAGGAAUGGAGGGGAGACUGGAAUACUUGGUGUAGCAGUGAAAUGCGUAGAUAUCGGGAGGAACACCAGUGGCGAAGGCGGCUCUCUGGGGUAUUUCUGACGCUGAGGCACGAAAGCCAGGGGAGCGAACGGG